CAGUCGCCACGGUAAUACGAGGGGGACAAGCGUUGUUCGGAAUUAUUGGGCGUAAAGGGUGCGUAGGCGGCUUGACAAGUCUUGUGUGAAAUCUAUGGGCUCAACCCAUAGUCUGCACGGGAAACUGUCGGGCUUGAGAAUGGGAGAGGUGAGUGGAAUUUCCGGUGUAGCGGUGAAAUGCGUAGAUAUCGGAAGGAACACCUGUGGCGAAAGCGGCUCACUGGACCAUCUCUGACGCUGAUGCACGAAAGCUAGGGGAGCAAACAGGAUUAGAUACCCGGGUAGUCCCUGUCUCUUAUAA
rnacentral:rRNA from 1 species